AGGGGGUUUGAUCCUGGGCUCAGGAUGAACGUUGGCGGCGUGGAUUAGGCAUGCAAGUCGAGCGGUAAGGCUCCUUCGGGAGUACACGAGCGGCGAAAGGGAGAGUAACGCGUGGGUACCUGCCCUCGGGCCCGGAAUAGCGGUGGGAAACUGCCGGUAAUGCCGGAUAACGUCUCCGGACCAAAGGUGUGAUUCCGCCUGAGGAGGAGCCCGCGUCCUAUUAGCUUGUUGGUGGGGUAAUGGCCUACCAAGGCUUUGAUGGGUACCGGGUGUGAGAGCAUGGCCCGGCUCACUGGGACUGAGACACUGCCCAGACACCUACGGGUGGCUGCAGUCGAGAAUCUUCGGCAAUGGACGCAAGUCCGACCGAGCGACGCCGCGUGCGGGAUGAAUGCCUUCGGGUUGUAAACCGCUGUCGGAAGGAAGGAAAUGCAUGGGGGCAAUCCCCCAUGUUUGACCGAUCUUCGAAGGAAGUACGGGCUAAGUUCGUGCCAGCAGCCGCGGUAACACGAACCGUACGAACGUUAUUCGGAAUUACUGGGCUUAAAGAGUGCGUAGGCGGCUUAGAAGGUUGGAUGUGAAAUCCCUCGGCUCACCGAGGAACUGCGUUCAAAACCACUAAGCUUGAGGAAGGCAGAGGUGAGCGGAACUGAUGGUGGAGCGGUGAAAUGCGUUGAUAUCAUCAGGAACACCGGUGGCGAAGGCGGCUCACUGGGCCUUUUUCUGACGCUGAGGCACGAAAGCUAGGGGAGCGAACGGGAUUAA
rnacentral:rRNA from 1 species